UACGGAGGGGGCUAGCGUUGUUCGGAAUUACUGGGCGUAAAGGGCGCGUAGGCGGUACUUCAAGUCAGGCGUGAAAGCCCCGGGCUCAACCUGGGAACCGCGCUUGAGACUGGAGAACUAGAGUUCGGGAGAGGAUGGUGGAAUUCCCAGUGUAGAGGUGAAAUUCGUAGAUAUUGGGAAGAACACCGAUGGCGAAGGCAGCCAUCUGGACCGGCACUGACGCUGAGGCGCGAAAGCGUGGGGAGCAAACAGG
rnacentral:rRNA from 1 species